ACCGGCGCAGCGGCUGACCUGG
rnacentral:miRNA from 1 species